UGGGGAAUAUUGCACAAUGGGCGCAAGCCUGAUGCAGCAACGCCGCGUGAGGGAUGACGGCCUUCGGGUUGUAAACCUCUUUUAGCAGGGAAGAAGCGAAAGUGACGGUACCUGCAGAAAAAGCGCCGGCUAACUACGUGCCAGCAGCCGCGGUAAUACGUAGGGCGCAAGCGUUAUCCGGAAUUAUUGGGCGUAAAGAGCUCGUAGGCGGUUUGUCGCGUCUGCUGUGAAAUCCCGAGGCUCAACCUCGGGUCUGCAGUGGGUACGGGCAGACUAGAGUGCGGUAGGGGAGAUUGGAAUUCCUGGUGUAGCGGUGGAAUGCGCAGAUAUCAGGAGGAACACCGAUGGCGAAGGCAGAUCUCUGGGCCGUAACUGACGCUGAGGAGCGAAAGGGUGGGGAGCAAACAGGCUUAGAUACCCUGGUAGUCCACCCCGUAAACGUUGGGAACUAGUUGUGGGGUCCAUUCCACGGAUUCCGUGACGCAGCUAACGCAUUAAGUUCCCCGCCUGGGGAGUACGGCCGCAAGGCU
rnacentral:rRNA from 1 species